ensembl:lncRNA
AUCAUCUAGAGUAGUCCUGAUAGAACGUGACAUCUUGAUCACACAUUGACACGUUACAUUGCAUCCCAUCUUCUAAAAUCAUAAAUGAAAAGAGUGGCUGCAUUCCACAGUCUCUGAAUUCUUUCAAGACAGCUCAGCAAUCUACAAGUGAAAGAGUAUGUCCCUUGAUGAAAGAAAAACCCCCAAACAACGUGGGAAUGGGCAAUAAAAAGGGUAGAACAGAUGCACUUCUGCACCGGCUGCAAGGUCCCCAGGAAAGGAAGAAAGCAGAGAGGAAUCACCUGACAGGGACCUGGAUACCUGCAAGAAGAUGCACAACAGAAGAUCAAAUCACCCCUUCAGUGCCAGCAGCAUCACAGACGUCAUAUGGGUCAUGGUCUGAGGCAUAUAUUGAUACACAUGCUAAAAAGAUGCUUCUAAUUUUUUUUUUUAAGCCUAUAAACCAGCCUCUAAAUUGUAACAGGUUUCUUAAUGAUAUUAUAAGC